rnacentral:rRNA from 1 species
UACGAAGGGGGCUAGCGUUGCUCGGAAUUACUGGGCGUAAAGGGCUCGUAGGCGGCCAACUAAGUCGGAUGUGAAAUCCCCAGGCUCAACCUGGGAACUGCAUCCGAUACUGGAUGGCUUGAAUCCGGGAGAGGGAUGCAGAAUUCCAGGUGUAGCGGUGAAAUGCGUAGAUAUCUGGAGGAAUACCGGUGGCGAAGGCGGCAUCCUGGACCGGCAUUGACGCUGAGGAGCGAAAGCUAGGGGAGCAAACGGG